UACGUAGGGUGCGAGCGUUAAUCGGAAUUACUGGGCGUAAAGCGUGCGCAGGCGGUGAUGUAAGACAGUUGUGAAAUCCCCGGGCUUAACCUGGGAAUGGCAUUGGUGACUGCACGGCUAGAGUGUGUCAGAGGGGGGUAGAAUUCCACGUGUAGCAGUGAAAUGCGUAGAGAUGUGGAGGAAUACCGAUGGCGAAGGCAGCCCCCUGGGAUAACACUGACGCUCAUGCACGAAAGCGUGGGGAGCAAACGGG
rnacentral:rRNA from 1 species